rnacentral:rRNA from 1 species
UUACGGUCAAAUCACGCUGAAACACCGGGUCUCGUACGAUCACCGAAGUUAAGCAGCGUAGAGCCAGGUCAGUACUUAGAUGGGGGACCGCUUGGGAACACCUGGUACUGUAAG